GCCCCGCUAGCUCAAUUGGCAGAGCAAAUCCCUCUUAAGGAUAAGGUUGUAGGUUCAAAUCCUACGCGGGGCA
rnacentral:tRNA from 1 species